GCCUGGGUGGCUCAGUCGGUUGAGCAUCCGACUUCAGCUCAGGUCAUGAUCUCACAGUCUGUGGGUUUGAGCCCGCAUCAGGCU
rfam:Felis catus isolate Cinnamon breed Abyssinian chromosome A3, whole genome shotgun sequence.